GCGCGGAGAUCCUCCCGGCGACAUCACUGAGGCGGAGCGCAGCCGCGCCUGCUCCCCGAUCGCGCCGUUCGUGUUGCCCGCACUGCCCGAGGCCCUUUGCGGACUGGCUGGCCGCGCUCUUCGCACGGGGCGCUUUUGCGUGGGGUCGCGCAGGAGCCGCGGGGGGCCGGAUCGCUGAGGGAGCGUCAGCCGCGCGCCGCUGCGGGACCGCGGGUGGGCGGGCUGAGGGGCGGAGGAGCCUCCGGCCCCGCCUCCCGCGUGCUGCUGCCGGAGCCGCCGCCGCCGCAGCCCCGCCGAGGCUUUAAACAGCGGGGCCCGCCCCGCGCCCGCCACACUCGCGCGCUCGCUCGGCUGCCGGUGGCCUCUGUGGCCGUCCAGGCUAGCGGCGGCCCGCAGGCGGCGGGGAGAAAGACUCUCUCACCUGGUCUUGCGGCUGUGGCCACCGCCGGCCAGGGGGUGCGGAGGGCGUGCUGCCGGAGACGUCCGCCGGGCUCUGCAGUUCCGCCGGGGGUCGGGCAGCUAUGGAGCCGCGGCCCACGGCGCCCUCCUCCGGCGCCCCGGGACUGGCCGGGGUCGGGGAGACGCCGUCAGCCGCUGCGCUGGCCGCAGCCAGGGUGGAACUGCCCGGCACGGCUGUGCCCUCGGUGCCGGAGGAUGCUGCGCCCGCGAGCCGGGACGGCGGCGGGGUCCGCGAUGAGGGCCCCGCGGCGGCCGGGGACGGGCUGGGCAGACCCUUGGGGCCCACCCCGAGCCAGAGCCGUUUCCAGGUGGACCUGGUUUCCGAGAACGCCGGGCGGGCCGCUGCUGCGGCGGCGGCGGCGGCGGCAGCGGCGGCGGCUGGUGCUGGGGCGGGGGCCAAGCAGACCCCCGCGGACCGGGAAGCCAGCGGCGAGAGCGAGCCGGCUAAAGGCAGCGAGGAAGCCAAGGGCCGCUUCCGCGUGAACUUCGUGGACCCAGCUGCCUCCUCGUCGGCUGAAGACAGCCUGUCAGAUGCGGCCGGGGUCGGAGUCGACGGGCCCAACGUGAGCUUCCAGAACGGCGGGGACACGGUGCUGAGCGAGGGCAGCAGCCUGCACUCCGGCGGCGGCGGCAGUGGGCACCACCAGCACUACUAUUAUGAUACCCACACCAACACCUACUACCUGCGCACCUUCGGCCACAACACCAUGGACGCUGUGCCCAGGAUCGAUCACUACCGGCACACAGCCGCGCAGCUGGGCGAGAAGCUGCUCCGGCCUAGCCUGGCGGAGCUCCACGACGAGCUGGAAAAGGAACCUUUUGAGGAUGGCUUUGCAAAUGGGGAAGAAAGUACUCCAACCAGAGAUGCUGUGGUCACGUAUACUGCAGAAAGUAAAGGAGUCGUGAAGUUUGGCUGGAUCAAGGGUGUAUUAGUACGUUGUAUGUUAAACAUUUGGGGUGUGAUGCUUUUCAUUAGAUUGUCAUGGAUUGUGGGUCAAGCUGGAAUAGGUCUAUCAGUCCUUGUAAUAAUGAUGGCCACUGUUGUGACAACUAUCACAGGAUUGUCUACUUCAGCAAUAGCAACUAAUGGAUUUGUAAGAGGAGGAGGAGCAUAUUAUUUAAUAUCUAGAAGUCUAGGGCCAGAAUUUGGUGGUGCAAUUGGUCUAAUCUUCGCCUUUGCCAACGCUGUUGCAGUUGCUAUGUAUGUGGUUGGAUUUGCAGAAACCGUGGUGGAGUUGCUUAAGGAACAUUCCAUACUUAUGAUAGAUGAAAUCAAUGAUAUCCGAAUUAUUGGAGCCAUUACAGUGGUGAUUCUUUUAGGUAUCUCAGUAGCUGGAAUGGAGUGGGAAGCAAAAGCUCAGAUUGUUCUUUUGGUGAUCCUACUUCUUGCUAUUGGUGAUUUCGUCAUUGGAACAUUUAUCCCACUGGAGAGCAAGAAGCCAAAAGGGUUUUUUGGUUAUAAAUCUGACAUAUUUAAUGAGAACUUUGGGCCCGAUUUUCGAGAGGAAGAGACUUUCUUUUCUGUAUUUGCCAUCUUUUUUCCUGCUGCAACUGGUAUUCUGGCUGGAGCAAAUAUCUCAGGUGAUCUUGCAGAUCCUCAGUCAGCCAUACCCAAAGGAACACUCCUAGCCAUUUUGAUUACUACAUUGGUUUACGUAGGAAUUGCAGUAUCUGUAGGUUCUUGUGUUGUUCGAGAUGCCACUGGAAACAUUAAUGACACUAUCGUAACAGAGCUAACAAACUGUACUUCUGCAGCCUGCAAAUUAAACUUUGAUUUUUCAUCUUGUGAAAGCAGUCCUUGUUCCUAUGGCCUAAUGAACAACUUCCAGGUAAUGAGUAUGGUGUCAGGAUUUACACCAUUAAUUUCUGCAGGUAUAUUUUCAGCCACUCUUUCUUCAGCAUUAGCAUCCCUUGUGAGUGCUCCCAAAAUAUUUCAGGCUCUAUGUAAGGACAACAUCUACCCAGCUUUCCAGAUGUUUGCUAAAGGUUAUGGGAAAAAUAAUGAACCUCUUCGUGGCUACAUCUUAACAUUCUUAAUUGCACUUGGAUUCAUCUUAAUUGCUGAACUGAAUGUUAUUGCUCCAAUUAUCUCAAACUUCUUCCUUGCAUCAUAUGCAUUGAUCAAUUUUUCAGUAUUCCAUGCAUCACUUGCAAAAUCUCCAGGAUGGCGUCCUGCAUUCAAAUACUACAACAUGUGGAUAUCACUUCUUGGAGCAAUUCUUUGUUGCAUAGUAAUGUUCGUCAUUAACUGGUGGGCUGCAUUGCUAACAUAUGUGAUAGUCCUUGGGCUGUAUAUUUAUGUUACCUACAAAAAACCAGAUGUGAAUUGGGGAUCCUCUACACAAGCCCUGACUUACCUGAAUGCACUGCAGCAUUCAAUUCGUCUUUCUGGAGUGGAAGACCACGUGAAAAACUUUAGGCCACAGUGUCUUGUUAUGACAGGUGCUCCAAACUCACGUCCAGCUUUACUUCAUCUUGUUCAUGAUUUCACAAAAAAUGUUGGUUUGAUGAUCUGUGGCCAUGUACAUAUGGGUCCUCGAAGACAAGCCAUGAAAGAGAUGUCCAUCGAUCAAGCCAAAUAUCAGCGAUGGCUUAUUAAGAACAAAAUGAAGGCAUUUUAUGCUCCAGUACAUGCAGAUGACUUGAGAGAAGGUGCACAGUAUUUGAUGCAGGCUGCUGGUCUUGGUCGUAUGAAGCCAAACACACUUGUCCUUGGAUUUAAGAAAGAUUGGUUGCAAGCAGAUAUGAGGGAUGUGGAUAUGUAUAUAAACUUAUUUCAUGAUGCUUUUGACAUACAAUAUGGAGUAGUGGUUAUUCGCCUAAAAGAAGGUCUGGAUAUAUCUCAUCUUCAAGGACAAGAAGAAUUAUUGUCAUCACAAGAGAAAUCUCCUGGCACCAAGGAUGUGGUAGUAAGUGUGGAAUAUAGUAAAAAGUCCGAUUUAGAUACUUCCAAACCACUCAGUGAAAAACCAAUUACACACAAAGUUGAGGAAGAGGAUGGCAAGACUGCAACUCAACCACUGUUGAAAAAAGAAUCCAAAGGCCCUAUUGUGCCUUUAAAUGUAGCUGACCAAAAGCUUCUUGAAGCUAGCACGCAGUUUCAGAAAAAACAAGGAAAGAAUACUAUUGAUGUCUGGUGGCUUUUUGAUGAUGGAGGUUUGACCUUAUUGAUACCUUACCUUCUGACGACCAAGAAAAAAUGGAAAGACUGUAAGAUCAGAGUAUUCAUUGGUGGAAAGAUAAACAGAAUAGACCAUGACCGGAGAGCGAUGGCUACUUUGCUUAGCAAGUUCCGGAUAGACUUUUCUGAUAUCAUGGUCCUAGGAGAUAUCAAUACCAAACCAAAGAAAGAAAAUAUUAUAGCUUUUGAGGAAAUGAUUGAGCCAUACAGACUUCAUGAAGAUGAUAAAGAGCAAGAUAUUGCAGAUAAAAUGAAAGAAGAUGAACCAUGGCAAAUAACAGAUAAUGAGCUUGAACUUUAUAAGACCAAGUUUUAUGAACCAUGCUAAAUUCUUAUUUCCACAUGGUCUAGGAAUGACUGUCCUGUUUCAUUUCAGACAUACCGGCAGAUCAGGUUAAAUGAGUUAUUAAAGGAACAUUCAAGCACAGCUAAUAUUAUUGUCAUGAGUCUCCCAGUUGCACGAAAAGGUGCUGUGUCUAGUGCUCUCUACAUGGCGUGGUUAGAAGCUCUAUCUAAGGACCUACCACCAAUCCUCCUAGUUCGUGGGAAUCAUCAGAGUGUCCUUACCUUCUAUUCAUAAACGUUCUAUACAGUGGACAGCCCUCCAGAAUGGUACUUCAGUGCCUAGUGUAGUAACUGAAAUCUUCAAUGACACAUUAACAUCACAAUGGCGAAUGGUGACUUUUCUUUCACGAUUUCAUUAAUUUGAAAGCACACAGGAAAGUUGCUCCAUUGAUAACGUGUAUGGAGACUUCGGUUUUAGUCAAUUCCAUAUCUCAAUCUUAAUGGUAAUUCUUCUCUGUUGAACUGAAGUUUGUGAGAGUAGUUUUCCUUUGCUACUUGAAUAGCAAUAAAAGCGUGUAAACUUUUUGAUUGAUGAAAGAAGUACAAAAAGCCUUUAGCCUUGAGGUGCCUUCUGAAAUUAACCAAAUUUCAUCCAUAUAUCCUCUUUUAUAAAUUUAUAGAAUGUCAAACUUUGCCUUCAACUGUUUUUAUUUCUAGUCUCUUCCACUUUAAAACAAAAUGAACACUGCUUGUCUUCUUCCAUUGACCAUUUAGUGUUGAGUACUGUAUGUGUUUUGUUAAUUCUAUAAAGGUAUCUGUUAGAUAUUAAAGGUGAGAAUUAGGGCAGGUUAAUGAAAAAUGGGGAAGGGGAAAUGGUAACCAAAAAGUAACCCCAUGGUAAGGUUUAUAUGGGUAUAUGUGAAUAUAGAGCUAGGAAAAAAAGCCCCCCAAAUACCUUUUUAACCCCUCUGAUUGGCUAUUAUUACUAUAUUUAUUAUUAUUUAUUGAAACCUUAGGGAAGAUUGAAGAUUCAUCCCAUACUUCUAUAUACCAUGCUUAAAAAUCACGUCAUUCUUUAAACAAAAAUACUCAAGAUCAUUUAUAUUUAUUUGGAGAGAAAACUGUCCUAAUUUAGAAUUUCCCUCAAAUCUGAGGGACUUUUAAGAAAUGCUAACAGAUUUUUCUGGAGGAAAUUUAGACAAAACAAUGUCAUUUAGUAGAAUAUUUCAGUAUUUAAGUGGAAUUUCUGUAUACUGUACUAUCCUUUAUAAGUCAUUAAAAUAAUGUUUCAUCAAAUGGCUAAAUGGACCACUAGUUUCUUAGAGAAAUGUUUUUAGGCUUAAUUCAUUCAAUUGUCAAGUACACUUAGUCUUAAUACACUCAGGUUUGAACAGAUUAUUCUGAAUAUUAAAAUUUAAUCCAUUCUUAAUAUUUUAAAACUUUUGUUAAGAAAAACUGCCAGUUUGUGCUUUUGAAAUGUCUGUUUUGACAUCAUAGUCUAGUAAAAUUUUGACAGUGCAUAUGUACUGUUACUAAAAGCUUUAUAUGAAAUUAUUAAUGUGAAGUUUUUCAUUUAUAAUUCAAGGAAGGAUUUCCUGAAAACAUUUCAAGGGAUUUAUGUCUACAUAUUUGUGUGUGUGUGUGUAUACAUAUGUAAUAUGCAUACACAGAUGCAUAUGUGUAUAUAUAAUGAAAUUUAUGUUGCUGGUAUUUUGCAUUUUAAAGUGAUCAAGAUUCAUUAGGCAAACUGGUUUAAGUAAACAUAAGUUCAAAAUCAGAUUAACAGAUACAGGUUUCAUAGAGAACAAAGGUGAUCAUUUGAAGGGCAUGCUGUAAUUUCACACAAUUUUCCAGUUCAAAAAUGGAGAAUACUUCGCCUAAAAUACUGUUAAGUGGGUUAAUUGAUACAAGUUUCUGUGGUGGAAAAUUUAUGCAGGUUUUCACGAAUCCUUUUUUUUUUUUUUUUUUUUUUUUUUUUGAGACGGAGUCUCGCUCUGUUGCCACGCUGGAAUGCAGUAACGUGAUCUCGGCUCACUGCGACCUCCGCCUCCCCAGUUCAAGCGAUUCUCCUGCCUCAGCCUCCCUAGUAGCUGGGACUACAGGUGCACACCACCAUGCCCAGCUAAUUUUUGUAUUUUGAGUAGAGACAGGGUUUCACCAUGUUGGUUAGGAUGGUGUCUAUCUCUUGACCUUGUGAUCCACCCGCCUCAGCCUCCCAGAGUGCUGGGAUUACAGGUGCGAGCCACUGCGCCUGGCUGGUUUUCAUGAAUCUUGAUAGACAUCUAUAACGUUAUUAUUUUCAGUGGUGUGCAGCAUUUUUGCUUCAUGAGUAUGAGCUAGGUAUAGAGAUCUGAUAACUUGAAUUCAGAAUAUUAAGAAAAUGAAGUAACUGAUUUUCUAAAAAAAAAAAAAAAAAAAAAAAAAAAUUCUACAUUAUAACUCACAGCAUUGUUCCAUUGCAGGUUUUGCAAUGUUUGGGGGUAAAGACAGUAGAAAUAUUAUAUUAUUCAGUAAACAAUAAUGUGUGAACUUUUAAGAUGGAUAAUAGGGCAUGGACUGAGUGCUGCUAUCUUGAAAUGUGCACAGGUACACUUACCUUUUUUUUUUUUUUAAGUUUUUCCCAUUCAGGAAAACAACAUUGUGAUCUGUACUACAGGAACCAAAUGUCAUGCGUCAUACAUGUGUGUAUAAAGUACAUAAAAUAUAUCUAACUAUUCAUAAUGUGGGGUGGGUAAUACUGUCUGUGAAAUAAUGUAAGAAGCUUUUCACUUAAAAAAAAAUGCAUUACUUUCACUUAACACUAGACACCAGGUCGAAAAUUUUCAAGGUUAUAGUACUUAUUUCAACAAUUCUUAGAGAUGCUAGCUAGUGUUGAAGCUAAAAAUAGCUUUAUUUAUGCUGAAUUUUGAUUUUUUAUGCCAAAUUUUUUUUAGUUCUAAUCAUUGGUGAUAGCUUGGAAAUAAAUAAUUAAGCCAUGGCAUUUGACAGUUCAUUAUUCCUAUAAGAAUUAAAUUGAGUUUAGAGAGAAUGGUGGUGUUGAGCUGAUUAUUAACAGUUACUGAAAUCAAAUAUUUAUUUGUUACAUUAUUCCAUUUGUAUUUUAGGUUUCCUUUUACAUUCUUUUUAUAUGCAUUCUGACAUUACAUAUUUUUUAAGACUAUGGAAAUAAUUUAAAGAUUUAAGCUCUGGUGGAUGAUUAUCUGCUAAGUUUGAAAAUGUAAUAUUUUGAUAAUACUGUAAUAUACCUGUCACACAAAUGCUUUUCUAAUGUUUUAACCUUGAGUAUUGCAGUUGCUGCUUUGUACAGAGGUUACUGCAAUAAAGGAAGUGAAUUCAUUAAACCUA